rnacentral:rRNA from 1 species
CAGUCGCCACGGGAAUACGUAGGGUGCAAGCGUUAAUCGGAAUUACUGGGCGUAAAGCGUGCGCAGGCGGUUAUGUAAGACAGUUGUGAAAUCCCCGGGCUCAACCUGGGAACUGCAUCUGUGACUGCAUAGCUAGAGUACGGUAGAGGGGGAUGGAAUUCCGCGUGUAGCAGUGAAAUGCGUAGAUAUGCGGAGGAACACCGAUGGCGAAGGCAAUCCCCUGGACCUGUACUGACGCUCAUGCACGAAAGCGUGGGGAGCAAACAGGAUUAGAUACCCGUGUAGUCCCUGUCUCUUAUAC